UACGUAGGGUGCAAGCGUUAAUCGGAAUUACUGGGCGUAAAGCGUGCGCAGGCGGUUCGGAAAGAAAGAUGUGAAAUCCCAGGGCUCAACCUUGGAACUGCAUUUUUAACUACCGGGCUAGAGUGUGUCAGAGGGAGGUGGAAUUCCGCGUGUAGCAGUGAAAUGCGUAGAUAUGCGGAGGAACACCGAUGGCGAAGGCAGCCUCCUGGGAUAACACUGACGCUCAGGCACGAAAGCGUGGGGAGCAAACAGGAUUAGAUACCCGGGUAGU
rnacentral:rRNA from 1 species